GACGAACGCUGGCGGCGUGCUUAACACAUGCAAGUCGAGCGGUAAGGCCCUUCGGGGUACACGAGCGGCGAACGGGUGAGUAACACGUGGGUGACCUGCCUCUAGCUCUGGGAUAAGCCUGGGAAACUGGGUCUAAUACCGGAUAUGACUCCACGGCGCAUGUUGUGGGGUGGAAAGCCUUGUGUGGCUAGAGAUGGGCCCGCGGCCUAUCAGCUUGUUGGUGGGUGAUGGCCUACCAAGGCGACGACGGGUAGCCGGCCUGAGAGGGCGACCGGCCACACUGGGACUGAGACACGGCCCAGACUCCUACGGGAGGCAGCAGUGGGGAAUCUUGCGCAAUGGGCGAAAGCCUGACGCAGCGACGCCGCGUGAGGGAUGACGGCCU
rnacentral:rRNA from 1 species